rnacentral:snRNA from 1 species
UCUUAGAAGUUUAAUAUCUGAUAUGUACUCUAUCUGAGGAUAAUGUAUUAAAUGGAUUUUUAAAACAGGGAGAUGGAAUAGGAGCUUGCUUCAUCCACUUCACGCAUCGACCUGGUAUUACUGUACUUCCAGGAAUAGUGC